rnacentral:snRNA from 1 species
AGCUUUGUGCAGUGGCAGUAUUGUAGCCAAUGAGGUUUAUCUGAGGCACGAUUAUUGCUAAUUAAAAUGGGGGUAAUAUUAACGUCUAUCUUCAAAGUUUUGAGGAGGUUGAAUAAGAAAGCACACAUAACC